GUGUCAGCCGCCGCGGUAAGACAGAGGCCCCGAGCGUUAGGCGGAAUCACUGGGCUUAAAGCGUGUGUAGGCGGAUCGUUAAGUGUCUUGUGAAAUCCCACGGCUCACCCGUGGAACCGCUGGGCAUACUGGCGAUCUUGGGCCGUUCAGGGGCGACUGGAACAAGCGGUGGAGCGGUGAAAUGCGUAGAUAUCGCUUGGAACGCCGAAGGUGAAAACAGGUCGCUGGGGACGCGCCGACGCUGAGACACGAAAGCCAGGGGAGCAAACGGGAUUAGAAACCCUCGUAGUCC
rnacentral:rRNA from 1 species